rnacentral:misc_RNA from 1 species
GGAAAGGGAAAAGGCUGCAGAGGACCACAGGCGGAAUGUAGCAGAAUAUAAAAAAUUUCUGGAAUCCUGUGACUUCAUUAAGGUAAAUAGCCCAUGGCGGAAAGUUCAAGAUCGCUUGGAGGAUGAUGAAAGGUGUUUGCGUCUUGAAAAACUUGACCGCUUACUCAUUUUCCAGGACUAUAUCCGUGACCUGGAGAAGGAAGAAGAGGAACAGAAGAAGAUACAGAAGGAACAACUGAGACGGGCAGAGCGUAAAAACCGUGAUCAGUUUCGCAAAUUGUUGGAAGACCAUGUUGCUGAUGGGUCUCUUACUGCAAAAACUCACUGGCAUGAUUAUUGUCCUAAGAUUAAGGACUUGCCUCAAUAUCAUGCUGUUGCAACAAAUUCCUCAGGUUCAACACCGAGAGAUUUGUUUGAUGGUGUUGCUGAAGAGUUAGAGAAACAG